rnacentral:rRNA from 1 species
UACGGAAGGGGCAAGCGUUGUUCGGAAUCAUUGGGCGUAAAGGGCGCGUAGGUGGUUCUGUAUGUCUACCGUGAAAGCGUACGGCUCAACCGUAUUUUGUCGGUAGAAACUGCAGGACUUGAGGCUGGGAGGGGCUGGUGGAAUUCCCUGUGUAGCGGUGAAAUGCGUAGAGAUGGGGGAGAACACUCGUGGCGAAGGCGGCCAGCUAGACCAGUUCUGACACUGAGGCGCGAAAGCUGGGGGAGCAAACGGG